UACAGAGGUCUCAAGCGUUUGUUCGGAUUCAUUGGGCGUAAAGGGUGCGUAGGCGGCGCGGUAAGUCGGGUGUGAAAUCUUGGAGCUUAACUCCGAAACUGCAUUCGAUACUGCCGUGCUUGAGGACUGGAGAGGAGACGUGGAAUUUACGGUGUAGCGGUGAAAUGCGUAGAUAUCAGGAAGAACACCCGUGGCGAAGGCGGCUCUCUGGGACGGUACUGACGCUGAGACGCGAAAGCGUGGGGAGCGAACAGG
rnacentral:rRNA from 1 species